GCGUGCGUGCGGGGUGUGAGCGAACGAGGAGGAGAAGGGUUGCUGAUCUCGUGCCCAGCAGGCGGCUGGGGCAGGAGCGGUAGGAGGUGGCGAGGAGAGGUGGUGAAAGAGAGACGACGGCGGGGCCAGGAGAACCGGCAGCCAGAGGAGGCAGGUGGAGGAGUAGGUGACGGGUGGGUGGGUUUAGUGGCGGCGGAGCGAGGAGGGACGGGGCCGGUGGCGACGGCGGCUAUCGGUGCGGGGCGACGUUGGGGGGAGGAGGGUAUUGGAGAGAGAUAAGGAGCGUACGCCGUAGCCAAGGGGAGCGGUACCCACCGAGGUGGUACGCCGACGCCCCACCAGCAGCUCCAGCGGCCCACCCGGAGGGCGAGCGAUGGGGCUAGCUGGUGGAGAAAACCUAGGAGGGAACCGAGUGAUAGUGGCCGGUAGACACCGAGCCUGGGUCUAAAGAAACGGUUCGGCCUGUCGUACCCUAGCCUCUACGAGAUUUGAAGUUGACCUCUAUAAACAUCACAUGUUUACCUGAGCUAAAAAAAUACUCCCACGCGUGUACGACAGUGUACCAACCAGCGACUUCCGUACCCGUCUGAGUCGAAACACCGCUGGUGUUACCUAAUGGAAUGAAUGUACUCGUAACUACGAUGAACCACAUUGCCCAUGUUACCAAAGUAAUAAAAUUAAAAUUAUUAACCUUGUCCCGGUGAGUUGUUUUCUAAGUUUCUGGAACUUCCUCCUCGUUUCCCACCCUCCAACUGUGAAAUUUAUCGAUAAACUUUCAGACUUCCUCAUCGAGGUAACCCACCCUACAACUACAGUAUACGGGUUUUCGCAUUAGACGGUUUUACAAUUUUUCCUGUUUUUAAUUAGACUUACCUUAUAGAGUAUUGUUGACGUUACCCACAACAAUUCUUUCGAGAACUGUUGCCUCAAGAUGAUCGUCUCCAUUCAAUAAAACAAGAACUCUUCCAACAUUCCUCUAUUGGAAAGAAUGGCCUCUACAAGUGUUGUAUCAAACUUAUUACCACAUAGAGCAAAGUUUCCGGAUACAGCUAUGUUAACCUCUAGAACUUUUCAUGUUGUGGUUUGAAACACUUUUCAAAGACCCGUAGUUUAAACACCAACGGUUCUUUCAACUAUCAGAGAUGGGACGACAAUACCCUCGUUCAUAUAAACAUUUCCCUAAAGGAAAGUUAGAGAAUAAGUACAACUCAAUAAAGUACAGAAGACAAGUCUUCUUGAUACUACGUACAUCUUACGAAUUAUCCAAUUGAUAUAUAGAAGAGAUAACUUUGGUUCCAACAUGUAUACGUCUUCGAUCUAACAAAACAACUUAUUUGAUUUCCCCCAUAGCUCUUCUUCCACUUUAAGGAAAUCUUCCCCAUAACUCUUACAACACAACUUAUUGUUAGAAGCUCUUGUGUUAUUUUCCUAUCACCAGUUCCCAACGUACAGGCUCACGGACGCCUCUUCUUCCACCUUAAGGAAAUCUACCGGACUGAAGUUUUCUUUCGACGUCAACAACCACACUUACAGCUUCACGCAGUAAGUAGACUCCCCUUUGCACCAUGAACCUUAUAGAUUGUGUUGUGGGAAAUUCUCAACCAUUUAUAUUGAUAAAGGGUGAACCUAAUCCUUAGAGAAUACUCUUUACCUUUAAAAUUAACCACAUGUCCAUCACAUCUAAAGUCUCCUUUUAGACUACCCCAACGUAGUUAAAGACCGUAUGGACGAAAAUAAUAAAGGCCUUUCCAAAAAAACGUAAUUACUUUGAAAACUACAGAAGCAUUGAAAGUGAACAAGAGGGGUAGGUUUUUAUUACGUACUACGUACUCAAAUCCAAGAUUACGUUUCUACUCUAAUAGAUAACUUCUUGACCACAACAUGUUGAAAUAUAAUAGUAGUCGAGUUCAAAUGUAUCAUAGUUCACCUCAGGUGCCCUUAGAAUUUCUUCGAACCAGACUGGCACCCAACACCUAGUGGCGGCGUUCUUGUACAGUGAUUUCCAUACGUCAGAUUACAGGUCUCCGAGUUCUAUAUUCUGGUUCGAACAAUAGAAGGGUUCAACACGAGUGUACCAGUUCCGUAAGAUGAGAUCUACUCAAACGUUACCGGUAGGACCAGAUCCCGCCGGUAGUGAGCGUCCCCGGGUCUUCGUGAACCAGCUUCAACACUUCCUAUAUCAAGUCCAAAUCCGUAUGUUCCAUGUGUUGUUCGAAGUACAAAUCUCCUACUUGGCUGUGAUCAACCCUCGAUCUUACUUCUUCCGAUGGACACACCUCUUUCUCCUCUUUACUACUCUACAAAUACCGUUAAUCACCUACAACAAUAGAAUCAAAGACUUACAAACAGAACCGGACGAGCCUGUGGAACAAACUAUAGACUUAUCGGGAAAGGCGAGUGACAAGUUUAUACGGGAAGUAAAUAAACGUAUACUGGUCUGUUACAUCAAGUUUAUUAAUUCAACAAUAGGGUCCUUAUAAAACACUUUACUACAAAUCGGAAAUUUU
rnacentral:rRNA from 1 species